AUUGAACAUAAGAGUUUGAUCCUGGCUCAGAUUGAACGCUGGCGGCAUGCUUUACACAUGCAAGUCGGACGGCAGCACAGGGAAGCUUGCUUCUCGGGUGGCGAGUGGCGAACGGGUGAGUAACAUAUCGGAACGUACCGGGUAGCGGGGGAUAACUGAUCGAAAGAUCAGCUAAUACCGCAUACGUCUUGAGAGGGAAAGCAGGGGACCUUCGGGCCUUGCGCUAUCCGAGCGGCCGAUAUCUGAUUAGCUGGUUGGCGGGGUAAAGGCCCACCAAGGCGACGAUCAGUAGCGGGUCUGAGAGGAUGAUCCGCCACACUGGGACUGAGACACGGCCCAGACUCCUACGGGAGGCAGCAGUGGGGAAUUUUGGACAAUGGGCGCAAGCCUGAUCCAGCCAUGCCGCGUGUCUGAAGAAGGCCUUCGGGUUGUAAAGGACUUUUGUCAGGGAAGAAAAGGCCGUUGCCAAUAUCGGCGGCCGAUGACGGUACCUGAAGAAUAAGCACCGGCUAACUACGUGCCAGCAGCCGCGGUAAUACGUAGGGUGCGAGCGUUAAUCGGAAUUACUGGGCGUAAAGCGGGCGCAGACGGUUACUUAAGCAGGAUGUGAAAUCCCCGGGCUCAACCCGGGAACUGCGUUCUGAACUGGGUGACUCGAGUGUGUCAGAGGGAGGUGGAAUUCCACGUGUAGCAGUGAAAUGCGUAGAGAUGUGGAGGAAUACCGAUGGCGAAGGCAGCCUCCUGGGAUAACACUGACGUUCAUGUCCGAAAGCGUGGGUAGCAAACAGGAUUAGAUACCCUGGUAGUCCACGCCCUAAACGAUGUCAAUUAGCUGUUGGGCAACUUGAUUGCUUGGUAGCGUAGCUAACGCGUGAAAUUGACCGCCUGGGGAGUACGGUCGCAAGAUUAAAACUCAAAGGAAUUGACGGGGCCGCACAAGCGGUGGAUGAUGUGGAUUAAUUCGAUGCAACGCGAAGAACCUUACCUGGUUUUGACAUGUGCGGAAUCCUCCGGAGACGGAGGAGUGCCUUCGGGAGCCGUAACACAGGUGCUGCAUGGCUGUCGUCAGCUCGUGUCGUGAGAUGUUGGGUUAAGUCCCGCAACGAGCGCAACCCUUGUCAUUAGUUGCCAUCAUUCGGUUGGGCACUCUAAUGAGACUGCCGGUGACAAGCCGGAGGAAGGUGGGGAUGACGUCAAGUCCUCAUGGCCCUUAUGACCAGGGCUUCACACGUCAUACAAUGGUCGGUACAGAGGGUAGCCAAGCCGCGAGGCGGAGCCAAUCUCACAAAACCGAUCGUAGUCCGGAUUGCACUCUGCAACUCGAGUGCAUGAAGUCGGAAUCGCUAGUAAUCGCAGGUCAGCAUACUGCGGUGAAUACGUUCCCGGGUCUUGUACACACCGCCCGUCACACCAUGGGAGUGGGGGAUACCAGAAGUAGGUAGGGUAACCGCAAGGAGCCCGCUUACCACGGUAUGCUUCAUGACUGGGGUGAAGUCGUAACAAGGUAGCCGUAGGGGAACCUGCGGCUGGAUCACCUCCUUUCUAG
rnacentral:rRNA from 1 species